UACGUAGGCAGCGAGCGUUGUUCGGAAUUACUGGGCGUAAAGGGCGCGUAGGCGGCCUGCUAAGUCGAACGUGAAAUCCCCGGGCUCAACCCGGGAACUGCGUCCGAUACUGGUAGGCUUGAAUUCGGGAGAGGGAUGCGGAAUUCCAGGUGUAGCGGUGAAAUGCGUAGAUAUCUGGAGGAACACCGGUGGCGAAGGCGGCAUCCUGGACCGACAUUGACGCUGAGGCGCGAAAGCCAGGGGAGCAAACGGG
rnacentral:rRNA from 1 species